rnacentral:rRNA from 1 species
ACGUAGGGUGCAAGCGUUAAUCGGAAUUACUGGGCGUAAAGCGUGCGCAGGCGGUUAUGUAAGACAGAGGUGAAAUCCCCGGGCUCAACCUGGGAACUGCCUUUGUGACUGCAUAGCUGGAGUGCGGCAGAGGGGGAUGGAAUUCCGCGUGUAGCAGUGAAAUGCGUAGAUAUGCGGAGGAACACCGAUGGCGAAGGCAAUCCCCUGGGCCUGCACUGACGCUCAUGCACGAAAGCGUGGGGAGCAAACAGGAUUAGAUACCCUGGUAGUCCACGCCCUAAACGAUGUCAACUGGUUGUUGGGUCUUCACUGACUCAGUAACGAAGCUAACGCGUGAAGUUGACCGCCUGGGGAGUACGGCCGCAAGGUUA